rnacentral:rRNA from 1 species
UACGAAGGGGGCUAGCGUUGCUCGGAAUCACUGGGCGUAAAGGGUGCGUAGGCGGGUCUUUAAGUCAGGGGUGAAAUCCUGGAGCUCAACUCCAGAACUGCCUUUGAUACUGAAGAUCUUGAGUUCGGGAGAGGUGAGUGGAACUGCGGAGUGUAGAGGUGAAAUUCGUAGAUAUUCGGAAGAACACCAGUGGCGAAGGCGACUUACUGGACACAUAUUGACGCUGAGGUGCGAAAGCGUGGGGAGCAAACAGG